rnacentral:rRNA from 1 species
UUGAACGCUGGCGGCAGGCCUAACACAUGCAAGUCGAGCGGUAACAGGACUAGCUUGCUAGUUGCUGACGAGCGGCGGACGGGUGCGUAACACGUAGGAAUCUGCCCGGUAGUGGGGGAUAGCCCGGAGAAAUCCGGAUUAAUACCGCAUACGCCCUAAGGGGGAAAGAUGGCCUCUUCUUGAAAGCUAUCACUAUCGGAUGAGCCUGCGUCGGAUUAGCUGGUUGGUAGGGUAAAGGCCUACCAAGGCGACGAUCCGUAGCUGGUCUGAGAGGAUGAUCAGCCACACUGGGACUGAGACACGGCCCAGACUCCUACGGGAGGCAGCAGUGGGGAAUAUUGCACAAUGGGCGCAAGCCUGAUGCAGCCAUGCCGCGUGUGUGAAGAAGGCCUUAGGGUUGUAAAGCACUUUCAGCGAGGAGGAAAGGGGUAAAGUUAAUACCUUUGCCCUGUGACGUUACUCGCAGAAGAAGCACCGGCUAACUCCGU